CCUACGGGAGGCAGCAGUGGGGAAUAUUGCACAAUGGGGGAAACCCUGAUGCAGCGACGCCGCGUGAGUGAAGAAGUACUUCGUUACGUAAAGCUCUAUCAGCAGGGAAGAAAAUGACGGUACCUGAGUAAGAAGCCCCGGCUAACUACGUGCCAGCAGCCGCGGUAAUACGUAGGGGGCAAGCGUUAUCCGGUUUUACUGGGUGUAAAGUGAGCGUAGACUGCAGUGCAAGUCUGGAGUGAAAGGCGGGGGCUCAACCCCCGGACUGCACUGGAAACUGUACGGCUGGAGUGCAGGAGAGGUUAGUGGAAUUCCAGGUGUAGGGGUGAAAUGCGUAGAUAUUAGGAGGAACACCAGUGGCGAAGGCGGCUAACUGGACUGUAACUGACGUUGAGGCUCGAAAGCGUGGGGAGCAAACAGGAUUAGAUACCCGAGUAGUC
rnacentral:rRNA from 1 species